rnacentral:rRNA from 1 species
UGUGAGCUCGAUGAGUAGGGCGGGACACGUGGUAUCCUGUCUGAAUAUGGGGGGACCAUCCUCCAAGGCUAAAUACUCCUGACUGACCGAUAGUGAACCAGUACCGUGAGGGAAAGGCGAAAAGAACCCCGGCGAGGGGAGUGAAAAAGAACCUGAAACCGUGUACGUACAAGCAGUGGGAGCCUCUUAAUGGGGUGACUGCGUACCUUUUGUAUAAUGGGUCAGCGACUUAUAUUCUGUAGCAAGGUUAACCGAAUAGGGGAGCCGAAGGGAAACCGAGUCUUAACUGGGCGUUAAGUUGCAGGGUAUAGACCCGAAACCCGGUGAUCUAGCCAUGGGCAGGUUGAAGGUUGGGUAACACUAACUGGAGGACCGAACCGACUAAUGUUGAAAAAUUAGCGGAUGACUUGUGGCUGGGGGUGAAAGGCCAAUCAAACCGGGAGAUAGCUGGUUCUCCCCGAAAGCUAUUUAGGUAGCGCCUCGUGAAUUCAUCUCCGGGGGUAGAGCACUGUUUCGGCAAGGGGGUCAUCCCGACUUACCAACCCGAUGCAAACUGCGAAUACCGGAGAAUGUUAUCACGGGAGACACACGGCGGGUGCUAACGUCCGUCGUGAAGAGGGAAACAACCCAGACCGCCAGCUAAGGUCCCAAAGUCAUGGUUAAGUGGGAAACGAUGUGGGAAGGCCCAGACAGCCAGGAUGUUGGCUUAGAAGCAGCCAUCAUUUAAAGAAAGCGUAAUAGCUCACUGGUCGAGUCGGCCUGCGCGGAAGAUGUAACGGGGCUAAACCAUGCACCGAAGCUGCGGCAGCGACACUAUGUGUUGUUGGGUAGGGGAGCGUUCUGUAAGCCUGCGAAGGUGUACUGUGAGGUAUGCUGGAGGUAUCAGAAGUGCGAAUGCUGACAUAAGUAACGAUAAAGCGGGUGAAAAGCCCGCUCGCCGGAAGACCAAGGGUUCCUGUCCAACGUUAAUCGGGGCAGGGUGAGUCGACCCCUAAGGCGAGGCCGAAAGGCGUAGUCGAUGGGAAACAGGUUAAUAUUCCUGUACUUGGUGUUACUGCGAAGGGGGGACGGAGAAGGCUAUGUUGGCCGGGCGACGGUUGUCCCGGUUUAAGCGUGUAGGCUGAUUUUCCAGGCAAAUCCGGAAAAUCAAGGCUGAGGCGUGAUGACGAGGCACUACGGUGCUGAAGCAACAAAUGCCCUGCUUCCAGGAAAAGCCUCUAAGCAUCAGGUAACAUCAAAUCGUACCCCAAACCGACACAGGUGGUCAGGUAGAGAAUACCAAGGCGCUUGAGAGAACUCGGGUGAAGGAACUAGGCAAAAUGGUGCCGUAACUUCGGGAGAAGGCACGCUGAUAUGUAGGUGAAGCGACUUGCUCGUGGAGCUGAAAUCAGUCGAAGAUACCAGCUGGCUGCAACUGUUUAUUAAAAACACAGCACUGUGCAAACACGAAAGUGGACGUAUACGGUGUGACGCCUGCCCGGUGCCGGAAGGUUAAUUGAUGGGGUUAGCGGUAACGCGAAGCUCUUGAUCGAAGCCCCGGUAAACGGCGGCCGUAACUAUAACGGUCCUAAGGUAGCGAAAUUCCUUGUCGGGUAAGUUCCGACCUGCACGAAUGGCGUAAUGAUGGCCAGGCUGUCUCCACCCGAGACUCAGUGAAAUUGAACUCGCUGUGAAGAUGCAGUGUACCCGCGGCAAGACGGAAAGACCCCGUGAACCUUUACUAUAGCUUGACACUGAACAUUGAGCCUUGAUGUGUAGGAUAGGUGGGAGGCUUUGAAGUGUGGACGCCAGUCUGCAUGGAGCCGACCUUGAAAUACCACCCUUUAAUGUUUGAUGUUCUAACGUUGGCCCGUAAUCCGGGUUGCGGACAGUGUCUGGUGGGUAGUUUGACUGGGGCGGUCUCCUCCUAAAGAGUAACGGAGGAGCACGAAGGUUGGCUAAUCCUGGUCGGACAUCAGGAGGUUAGUGCAAUGGCAUAAGCCAGCUUGACUGCGAGCGUGACGGCGCGAGCAGGUGCGAAAGCAGGUCAUAGUGAUCCGGUGGUUCUGAAUGGAAGGGCCAUCGCUCAACGGAUAAAAGGUACUCCGGGGAUAACAGGCUGAUACCGCCCAAGAGUUCAUAUCGACGGCGGUGUUUGGCACCUCGAUGUCGGCUCAUCACAUCCUGGGGCUGAAGUAGGUCCCAAGGGUAUGGCUGUUCGCCAUUUAAAGUGGUACGCGAGCUGGGUUUAGAACGUCGUGAGACAGUUCGGUCCCUAUCUGCCGUGGGCGCUGGAGAACUGAGGGGGGCUGCUCCUAGUACGAGAGGACCGGAGUGGACGCAUCACUGGUGUUCGGGUUGUCAUGCCAAUGGCACUGCCCGGUAGCUAAAUGCGGAAGAGAUAAGUGCUGAAAGCAUCUAAGCACGAAACUUGCCCCGAGAUGAGUUCU